rnacentral:rRNA from 1 species
GAUGAACGCUGGCGGCGUGCCUAAUACAUGCAAGUCGAGCGAACGGACGAGAAGCUUGCUUCUCUGAUGUUAGCGGCGGACGGGUGAGUAACACGUGGAUAACCUACCUAUAAGACUGGGAUAACUUCGGGAAACUGGAGCUAAUACCGGAUAAUAUUUUGAACCGCAUGGUUCAAAAGUGAAAGACGGUCUUGCUGUCACUUAUAGAUGGAUCCGCGCUGCAUUAGCUAGUUGGUAAGGUAACGGCUUACCAAGGCAACGAUGCAUAGCCGACCUGAGAGGGUGAUCGGCCACACUGGAACUGAGACACGGCCCAGACUCCUACGGGAGGCAGCAGUAGGGAAUCUUCCGCAAUGGGCGAAAGCCUGACGGAGCAACGCCGCGUGAGUGAUGAAGGUCUUCGGAUCGUAAAACUCUGUUAUUAGGGAAGAACAUAUGUGUAAGUAACUGUGCACAUCUUGACGGUACCUAAUCAGAAAGCCACGGCUAACUACGUG